rnacentral:misc_RNA from 1 species
AAAUUGAACUAAAAACAAACCCAAAAUGCUCUCCUCGGAAAUCUACACCAAUACGACCACCUCCACGGCUAUGUCGGCGGUGGGGAUAACUUCAGCUGCUUCUGCUUCUGCUGCUGCCUCAGUGGCAACCACAACAACAACAACAGCCACCACAUUGCAAGUGGUGAAAGCGAGAAAACGCCGCAAGCGUCGGAAACGCGCAGGUCACGCAAUUGGUGCCGCCUCCACCACCACCACCAUCACAGCUGCAGCCGCCACAGCCAGCCACCUCGGCAGUCCCCACACCCACACACACCCCCAAGCAGGAAGCGUUUCCCUACCGACAGCAAACGGUGGCAGGAAGUGCAAGGCCCAAUACUUCCAGCACGACAAUCGGGAGUACUUGGCAAAGUACGAGAGCUUUCAACUCACGGCGCACCACACGGCAUCGGGCGCAGCUGCGCUGAACUAUGCGGCGGUGGCGAAAAAGUUCAAGCCCUUGCGGCCGGCGUUAACAAGCGGCGCCAAGAAAACCAGGCGACCAGGAAUGCCCAGAAAGUCGAACCCUGACUGCGCCUGCGCCUGCCAAUCCGCAGUGACGGAGCCGGCCGCGGAACCCAGCCAGCGAACAGCUGUUGCCACGCACCAGGACUUGCCACUGUCCACGUCGCAGUGGGGAAACGGAAGCGCAAACGCGAACGCAUCAAAGAUCAAUAUCGAUGGCCAGAUACUGCUCGAGCUGCUGAAGCACUCCUCGAACACAUUGCUGGAGACACUGCUCGGUGCUGGCAGUGCUGUGUCAUCGAGUGCUCGCGACACCCAUCAGAUAGCCGAGGCACAGCAGCAAAAGAACGCAAGGCUGCGCGAGGCCUUCAACAUAUCGAGCUACUUUGUGGAGGGCAGCAGCUUCGACAACGAUCGCAAAGCAAAAGAGGAUCUGGCCAAAAGCGUGGCUCUACAAAAGGAACUGGACGCACAGCGCGAAAGCCUGGCAGCGGCGGCAGCGGCUGCAGCAGCUGCUGCAGGCAAGGACAAGGAUACGGGCAAGCGAUAUGCUUUGGUCCGUACCCCAUCCCGAGAGCGAGAGCGGGAUGGAGAAGGCCAUGUUGCCGCCGCCAGUGGCGAUGAGCGCGAACAUGUCUCAAAGUCGGACAAGAAGAAGCGCAAGAAGCGCGCCAGAGAAAGCUCUGCCAGUCCUGAGCGCAAAAAGGACAAGAAAAAGAAGUCAAAGAAGCACAAGAAAGAGAGUAAGUCCAAAAAGAAGAAGUCCCGCAAGCGCAAGCACAGCGCCAGUUGCACCGACAAGGAAACCGACAAGGACAGCGACGAGGAGGCGGCGGGCAGCAGCGAUGAGGAGCGCGACCGCGAUCGUGAGCUAAAGAGCGCACGCAAGAAAGCCAAGAAGGACAAGGAUAGCUUUCAAUGGCUCUCUUGUAGUUUUAAAAAGCGCGACAAGAAGCUGAAAAAGAAGUCACGGGCCCGUGCCAGCUCCUCGGACUCGGAGCCCUCCAACUCACCGUCGCGUAAUGAACGCAAAGGCAAGAAGUCGGGCAAAUCCCGCGAUCCAACAGCUACCAAAGCUGAAGACAAUGGCACAUCGCGGGAGAAUCCCUUCCGGAGCAGGUCCCGCGAACGUCGCAGGGAAUUAAAGCGGCCCAACGAAUCAUCGGCCGACGGUCGAAGGGACAAGCGCGAGCGUAGCGAUAGUCGCAGUCGACGUCCCAAGUCCAAUGAACGGGGGGCAACCACCCGUACUCCACCUCGCAAAGAGCCGGAAAGAAAGCGCGAACGUUCUAAGGAGAGAUUUCGAUCAAAAGAAAGGCAACGAUCAAAAGAAAGACAGCGAUCAAAGGAAAGACUUCGUUCGAAGGAAAGACAACGCUCGAAAGAAAGACAGCGAUCAAAGGAACGACCAAAAUCGAAGGAGAGACAGAGGUCGAGGGAAAGACAGCGAUCGAAGGAGAGGAUCCGCUCCAAAGAAAGACAGCGUUCAAAGGAAAGGCAACGCUCUAAAGAGAGGCAAAAGUCUAAGGAUAGACAGAGAUCUAAGGAUAGGCAGAGAUCUAAGGAUAGGCAGAGGUCAAAAGAGAGACAGAGGUCAAAGGAGAGGCAGCGAUCAAAGGCGAGACUUUAUUCGAAAGAGAGACUGCGAUCCAAGGAGAGGGCGCGAUCAAAGGAUAAACCAGUAGUUGAAAUCAAGCGCGACAGAUCAAAGGAUCGCCAGCGAUCAAAGGAGAGGAAACGAUCGGUGGAUAAGGCACCCUCGAAGGAGAGAGAUAUGUCCAAAGGUCGACAAAGAUCAAAGGAGAGACAGCGCUCCAAAGAAAGACGACGUUCUAAGGAUCGCGGUCAACAAUCGAAUGAGAAAAAGCGUUCCAAGGAGCGACAACGAUCAAAAGACCGUCAACGAUCCAAGGAGCGACAGGGAGUGCCAAACCUAGCCGUCUCUAAGGAACGUACCCGGCGCCAGAGAUCGCCAUCGACCUCGGCCAAAAAUUCAACCGAUAAUCGCAAGCCUACUCGCAGUUCUAGAUCACUUUCCCGUUCCCGCAAGCAGCAGUCGCCGGCCGCAGUUGUCGGGAGCAGCCGACGCAGUCAUUCCCCAGAGGUUCCACCCAAGAAGGCUGCGCCACCGGCAUUCAAUCCCUUUAAGGCUGCAGAAGACACUGUCAACGAUAUCCUGGGCACCAAGUCGGUGAUUGUCGAACUGGAGAAGACCAAGCGCAAGCGGGCAGUCUCCAGCUCUAGCUCGGCAUCGGGUAGCUCCAGUAGCAGCUCGUCUGCAUCCCGGACACCUUCGCCCAAGCCCAAGCCUGGCAAACUGCGACGACGCAGCAAAACAUCCGAUCCUAUCAAGAAGGAGAGGAGCCCCAAGCGAGAUCGUCGUACCCCGCGCCAGACCAGCGUGAAGCGUGAACGUUCAAGCACUCCACAAAAGCCCAAGCCAAAGGGAAAGGCGACCACACCCAGUCCGAAGCCAGCAAAGCGACGCUCGCACAGCUCAAGCUCUUCGGAACUGCGCUACUCGCCAGCAGAACGACAUCCAGAGCGCUAUCAGGACAUCAUACAAGACAAGAAGCGGCCAUCGAAGGCACGCGACCUUUCCACAACGAAGCCCGCGCCCGUGGUGCGCCUGAGGGCCCAGAGCGAUGACGGCAGCGAUGCCGAUGCGAGUGGCUCCAAUGUGGAUGCAGCAGCACUUGACGAGUUCCAGCAGAGCAAGCAAGAGCGCGAGGAGCUGCAGGAGCUGCGUAUGCUGGAGCAGCUCAAGUCGGGGAUCGCCGCCAAGGCAAAGCAGAAGAUCAAGACUAUGGAGAAGAACGGAGACGUCAGCAAGGACUCUGCCAAGGAGGGCAGUGAACCCUUAGUUGCUGCACUCGCCGACAGCAGUCUGGUGGACGCCAUCGUCUCCAAGGUGUCCACGGCCACUGUGGCUGCAGCGGAGAGUGCAGCUCGUCGAAGUCGGAGUCGUUCACGCCGCAGCAGUCACAGCCGCAGCAAGCGGCACACGAGUGGCAGUCAUCAUCAUCAUCACUCCAGUAGUCGCUCAAGAUCACGCUCCAGCUCCAGCAGCAGUGCCAGCGGCUCGCGCAGUUCUAGGUCCCGCUCUGGCUCGCAAUCAUCUCGUUCCAGCUGCUCAUCCCAAAGCAGCUCGGGCAGCUCCUCCAGCAGCGGCUCAGGCACAUCACAGUCUGGCUCACGUUCCCCAUCUAUACCACGGCGUCGGGGCUCACCCAGCUUUCUAGACAGACGCCGCAUUACGAGCCGUCGGCCGCCGCCCAGCACCAGACGCUAGUUGCUUUCCAUUGAACUUUGUGUUGCAUCGAUUUCCCAAUUUGUUUAAACACGGCACCUGAUUUUAUUUAAUUGAUCUUGAUUAUUCUUUUUUCCAGCUGACUCAGGAACUACUUAUAGUUUGAUUUUCAAAUUUAUUUCUUCCUUUCAAUGCAAUACAUAUAUUUGUGUGUGCUUGUAAAAUUUUUGUUCUGAUUAUUUCUCGUAUUUAGCGCAAGAUCUAUUGAUUUUGUGGUACACACGCCAAUAAAACAUGUCAUCUCUUAUAUCUUAUUGUUUCCUAGGACAUAAUUUCUAUAAUUUAUUUUUAGCGAAUUUUUAUUGUGUUGAUUACAAUUUUCAGUUGUGCUCGCAAGCGACCCAUUCCCUACCACCACAAGGCAGCCGGUGGCACUGAGGGGGGUGCUGCAGAGGCAGAGGAGGCCUCCAGCUGCUGCU